rnacentral:lncRNA from 1 species
AUAUAAUGAAUUUCUCCUUAAAGAGAUGCAGAGAAAUAGAAAACCAAAAUCACACUAAAAAGUUAGCUGGACAGCAUAAACAAUAAACAACGUAAGAGUUAUUUUGGAAAACCACAAGAGAAAUAAAUUUCCUAGAUUAGCCAGGCAGUCAGCAUCACACAAUAAAAGAACCCAUUUGGAGGACAAUUAAUUACUUGUUAUAAUGGCUCGGAAAUUACAAGCACAGUGACCUCAGCUUCCACUUCCAGCCUUCCACCACGCAAACGCCAUUCACUAGAAAUCCAGUCUCUGGCUCAUCUAACUCACUCAAUGAAACGAAUCUUGGCCAGCCCCAGUUUUCGCUGGGUGUAUUGAACCAGUCUUUAUUCUCUAAUAGAGUAAAAGGAACAUUCUCGUUAUAUUAUUUGGAUUUGCCUCAAAUACUAAUUGUAUGUAAACACACACAUUUUACCUCGAAAAGAUUUAUGUUUCGCCCCCACUUGAUCUAUGAUUCGCAAUGUAUGCUCUGCAUAUAUAUUCUUUAAUCACCUCGACUGUGGAAUCUACCAAAGCCAAGUACAGAGAAAGAUGAUCGCCAUCACCACAGCCGUUUCCAAUCUGGGGGAAUGUGCAUCACAAACAAAGAAACAAACAAACAUUACCAGAAGCAACUAUGCAGUUACUGGUUCGGAAACAAAAAACCUAGUCACUGAAAACGGAGAGAACAAUUACUAUCUUUGAGUACAGAAGCAGAACAACUAAAACCUAUCUUUACCAGCUUUCGCAGCACGCAGCCCUCCAGUAAUUAGUGCAUCAAGCAACAUGUCCAUAACUAGCAUGGAUGAAUUUCAAAUUUAGGAGUCCAAUAAUGCGAGCGGUUUGAGUGAGAUAUUAUAACUGAAUUAUUGGCGAUUAAAACUUCAGAAAGGAACAGGUGUCUGAUAAGCUUCUACCUUCACUUUUGCAGCAACCACUGCAUAAUGUCCUUUCGCAGCACUCCAUCAAACCCAUUUCUAUUGUAGUGCAAACUCAACAGAUCAGAUCCAUUUGUCUCAAGAUGCCUAUACUGGGUUGUGGUUCCUGCAGGCCUUGGAUGCCGCAUCAUCAUGGCAAUGGUGGAAAAGGUUGGUUUAGAUGUUUGGACUCCAGGAGUUUUUGGAUUCGAGGACUUCAUUCCAUGGUUGGUCAUGCUCAUGCUGGAGCCAUGUGACAGUUUCUCAGGCGGACCACGUAUCUGGGCAGAUGCUUUCAUUCGGUCAAGCCAACGUAGAAUCCAGUUACCAACAUUUCUACCAACUUCUAUGUCCCUCUCAUGUAUGUUCCUGUGAAACUUGAGAGCAACAUCAAAGGCAGCACGUACUCGGCUGUGGAAAAAAUCAAUGAAGAAUGAAGGUCAGUCUUCAAAAAACAAUGGCAGUUCCAAGUUGGAGGAGUAAUAAAUUUGUUAUUAUUCAAAACAAUUGUAGAAAUAACAGUAUUUGCCAGCUAGUAACUGACAUAACAGCAGUAGUUAAACAGUAGAAUGGAAUCCAAUGAGCCAACCAUUGGGAAGAAUGCAAUGCUCAGGCAGUACCGUGGUCAAUAUCACACUGAGACUCUAAGAGUGGAGGAUGUGCAAUUAUUGGUUUCAUGAGGCAUACUAAAUCAAUUCAAAGUCCAAAGUAUUGAAACAAUUAAUUAAUUUAGGAUUUCCGUUUUAUGCAGAGGCUUUCAUGAAUAAUUACAACUAGAUCAGAAGGAUUCUGGAAAAAAGAUAUGUGCCCUGGUAACUUACUUUCAUGAAGUUAAUAACGUCCUACUAAUAAACAUCAAAAUACAACGGCUCAUUAAAAAGAAAAGCACAGAAGAACUUUCAAUCUAUCAUUUCAAAACAGUCUCUUUGAACUAAACAAGAGUACAGCUAUGACCUCCAGCUUUGGACGUUAGUACUUGUGCUUCUCCAAAAUCUUCAUAUCACCCAAAGAGAGACAGCAAUUUAAGAAUGUGCUCAUAAUAAUGAAAUUAGUUCUGGUAUCGGAGCAUUGUAGCUUGAUUGGAUAAUAAGUUCACAGGAAUGCAUAUGAGACUCUCCGACUGCUUCACCUACAGGUACUACACGAAGCUGGCAAACAUGUUAUUUUGACAUCAAGUGUUCAACAUAAUGCCAAAACAGCAAAAAAACAUUUCGUUAAAAGUUUGGUAUAGCAAAUCUAAAAGAUAAGUUAAUUCAAAUCCCAUAAUUGGCACAUAGACAAAACUAGUUGGAGGUUUGCAAAACUUCGCAAUAGAAAUUAUGCACCAAUCUAGAGCGAGAGAAUGCAGGUUGCAGUUCCAGAUAUUCAAUGAUCAACUGAGUUGAUAGUAACUUCUCUUAAUCUUUUAAGGAUUGGCUUUGCUCCAUAAUUGGUUAAAUAAAAAAUUCAGCAACCUAGCCUAUACAAUAUGUCAUAAGAUCACAGAUUUAGAAGCUGAUUUUAUUAUGAAAUGCACAGGGCCAUUCUAAGUCAGAUAGGAAAGAAUAAUUGCUUUGAGGGAAGAGCUCAGUGGUCUCUCAUAUUGCACAUGAUAUCAAGUCAAUGUGAACCAUUCACAUCAGUUUACAUCCAAGCUGAAGUAGAAGUGACAGGAUGCACAACGAACUAGUUGAAAUACUAAACUAAAGUUUUUCCCUUCAUAUUCCUAUAUAAUUAACACAGCUAAAAUACAGAUUGGUACAAGCUGAAGUAGAAGUGACAGGAUGCACAAUGAACUAGUUGAAGUACUAAACUAAAGUUUUUCCCUUCAUAUUCCUAUAUAAUUAACACAGCUAAAAUACAGAUUGGUACUUUGUUAUAGCCGUAUUCAAACACAUAUGCUGACCUCUGUAUAACUAAACUUCAAUGGAGCUCAUUAGAUUGGAAGCAAUAAUUUCAUUGGAAUAGCCAAGAUGGGGCACACUCAAACGUAAACAAGCAGAAUACAAUAGGUGCAUCUAGCAAGAAAACUUCCAUUUUAAGAGAUGGUCUAACGGCAUGGCACUCACACAGAAAAUUCAGACAAUGAAUAACAAUUUAUGAACCACCGUCAAAGUAACUUUUCAAAGAGAUGAUUAAUACAUAGGCAAAGACAAGCCAUCGUUAUUGUGGACACAUUUUAAUACGCUGUUCCCAAUGUGAUCUCCCACAGCACCAUUCUCUCUCUUGCUAGAACUCUCUCUCUCUCUCUCACUCUCUCUGAGUCUCUCUCUGUGAGUGUAUUUAUGCACUUCUUUUUUCUAGUUUUAUGUUUAUUUAUUUUGUAUAUUUUUUUUCUUAUAUUUUGACGUUUCUUUUCUCCCAAGUAAAAUCUAUGGAUUCUUUGAUUCAAGCCGCCAGAAAGUUCGAUCUUCGUUGCCCAUCAGGCUUCGGUCUUGAGUGUUCAACUGUUUAUUCUGUGAGCUUCUAUAUGUAUAUAAAGAGGAAAUUUUGAGGAAUUUAAAUUUUGCACCGAAUACAAAACAUGUGAUGAAAAGUCUAAAAUACCCUUAUAUUGGAACGGCCAAAUGCACGCCUCUCGGCCUCUGCCUACACCCAUCACAUAUGGUUGCGCGACCUUUUCUCAAGGUGACAACCAGUCUCGACCUCAAUGGUUACGUAAUUAUGAUACUCAUAUUCCUUCUCGAUCUACGUUUGGUUUUAUUUAAUUAAUUUUUUUAAUUGCUCGAAUAUUAUCGAAAAUAUACAGAUUAUGAUUCAACAAUUUGUUAAUUAUUCCAUGACUAUCUAACUAUAAUUAAGCAAUUUAUCUACGUAUUAUAACGAGCAAGGAAUUAAAUUAAAAAAGUCUGUAACUUUUUUUUAAAAAAAAGAAAAAAUAUCAAAAAAUUGAGAGAGAGAUAGGGGGAAAAAAAUAGGUAUUUAGGUACUUAAGUUGUGUUGUUAUAUUGGAUGAAUGUAUUUCAUAGUAUUUUUAUGGCAUAUUUAAAAUUAAAAAAAAUAAUAAUAGAAAAAAAAAUCCCUCUACAUCUCUUCCUGUUUGAAAUUACAUAGUUAAAUAGAGAAUUUUAUUUUUUAAAACAAAAAUUACGUCGCCAUUGACCGGCGUUACUGAUGUUGACCGCUAUCUUUUAUCGCAUUAAAUAUAUAAUAAUGAUCAGAAAUGGAUGAUUUAUCCUUUGGAAGUGUUAAUUUUGUAGUCGGCGUUAUCGAUGCUGAUCGCCAUCUUUUAUCGUGUUAAAUACAUAAUAAUGAUAAAAAAAAUGGACGAUUUACUCAUUGGAAGUGUUAAUUUUGCAGAAAAUACACUAUAUAGUUGGAAAUAUGAGAGUUAAAAUUUUCUCAAGCAUUUAAACAAGACUUGAGUUAAAUAACAACGUAUAUUAGCAUUUCUAACCCCAUAGAGUUGUAGAUCGGCUCAUGAGGAUUCCAUUGGUACUGGUUUUUAUCGUAAAGCGCGUCUCCGGCAAAACUCCGGCAAGUCUCCGGUGACUUUCCGGCAAGUCACUUUACUGUUUUUUCUUUUUUCAAAUAAGUUUAUCCUAUUAAUUUAAGAAAAUAAAUAUAAAUUAUUUGAACUUUAAUUUAUUUAAAAUUGAUUUUGUUUAGAGGAUAAUAUUGAAAUUUUUGUGUUUAAAUAAAUAAGGAAUUUGAAAUCCUUAGUCAUUGAUAAGGAAUACAAAUUUUUCAAAUUGAUGGAAAUUGAAUUUCAAUUGAAUUUGGUCUAACCAAACAAUAGAAAGUAGAAAAGAAAUCAAAUUAAUGGAAAUUCAAUUUUAUUGAAUUUGGUCCAACCAAAUAGUGGAAAGUGAAAAAGAAAUCAAAUUCUUUUCCUCUCCCCACUCCUCUACCCCCAAGCAAACAUGGCAUAAGGGCUCAUUUUUAGAUGAGGCAUUUAAUUAAUUAGAUGAUAUGAGUAAAGAUAUUAACAAACAAAUCAUUUUCAUAUGAUAGAAUUUCUUUUGCAUCAAUUAUAUCACACCUGUGUAUUUUUGGACCCUAAUUAGAUAUAAUUAUCCUCAAGUUUGGACGUCUGUCUGAUCAUAGCUUAAAUCCAAACUUGGUAGGGACGUUUGGACCGAAGCACCAUUUCAAAGAACAUACCAACUUGUUUUUCCAUUGCAACAAUUUCCUCCAAAUUACUAUAAUUCUUCAAGUACCUAAACUAGUACCGAAGAAAGUUGAUUAUAAUAAGAUUUUUCUAGGGUUAGAGUUCUCUCGAGAGUAAUUUUUUUCUUUAAAAUAUCUAAAAGGGACCAUGGUAUAUAGAAGCAUAUCAAAGUUAAGGGUUUAUACAAUUUAAGAGUAAAAUUUUAGAAAGAGUCAAAGUGACUGUUGAUAUUUAUCAAAUUUUGGAAACUGAUGGUUGCAAGAAUGGAAUGGAAAGCUAAGGGUAAAGAAAAGGGGAAUAGAAUGGGGAAAGGAGUAUUGAUUUCUUUAAUUUGUUUGGUUUGGUCAAGGAAUAUUGAUUCUUUCGUUUCAAAAAUGGAAUGGCAAGGGGAAAGAAAACAACUAUAAUGCAAAUGAAUAAAAAUAUCCUCCACUAGAAAAUGUAUAUUUCAUCGAGUUGAAGCAAUAUCUUAGUUGUUUUGUUUUCUACUACCAAAUAUUAUAUAAUUAACUCGCAAAAUUUAGGUUCAAUUAAGUAUUGUGGUUGAGCAGUACUUAAGUAUUUGUUAUUUUUUUUUAUGUGAUUUGAAAGUUAAGGUUUUUUUUCUCUUAUUUAUAUAAAGGCAUACUUUCAUAGAUGAUAAUGAAGUGCAAGAUUGUGUAAAACACACCCAAGAUUUUAUUUUUAAAAUGGGCUGACACUAAAUUAGGUCUUCUACUCUAACCCCUACCUUAGAUCUCCCAAAUCCUGGUUUAGAGGACCCCAUCUCUUUCUUCUUAAAUUUGGCAAAUUCGUUGCCAAUUACAAUUGCAUCCAAUUUACACAUUUUACCUGAAUGACACUUUAUUAAAACAUCCUUGGAAAAGUAUUUAGAUGCAUAUGCCAACAUUUUAGGAUGAUUUAAUUUUACUAAAUUAAUUAAAAAAGUAAGGGGUAUAAAUGAUUUUUUCUGGACUAGACCAGGCCACAGUUCGGUCUAACCCACGUGUGGGUCUACCACCGGGUUUACUAGUUGCGACUAUAAAGCGAAACACAAAGAGGACAAAAGCAACAGUGGAUUAGAUAUCACAUGCUAAACCCAUAAAACGGCAGCUGCAUGGAAUCUCCAUGUGGAGACUUAAGAACCAAUUAACCACCAAUUAUCGAGCGUCAACAACUGAAUUUCUUUGCCAAAAGAGGUGGGUCCAAUGAGAUCAACUCUUAUUAUAAGAUAUAAAAUUAAAAAUUGGCAUCCCAAUUUUCUUGCAAGAGUCACAAUGCUUAUUAGAAUAUAUAUUACAGGGCUUUGGAAAUUCCAAGCACAGGCAUCUCUGCUUCCACAAUACACACAUCAUUCACAAGAAAACCAUUUCCUGCCUUGUUCAGGUAAUUGAGUUCAACAAAAUUUGUCCAACCCCCAAAUUUAUUUGAGGUAUUUAACCAUUCUCCAGCUGCGAACACGACAAUAGAAACCUUGAGUUAUUUGCAUUUAGCUACAAAACUUAUUGAACUGAAUUACCUGUUAAAGUCUGGGUUUAUAAUAAUUUACCUUUUUUUUCAUAAUGCUUUGACAGCAAUUGAUUCCGGAUUCGCAGUGUAAAAUGCACGUAUAUUUUAGAACCACCAGUUAUAGUUGACGAGUCAGUCAAUUCCAAGUACAUGGAAAUAUGACUGCCUUUAGCUUCUCCCAGUCCUUUGGGAAGGAGUAGUAUCUUCCUAAAAAAAAAUCAACAAGGGUAAAGUAUAAGUCUCUGCAUUCAAUUAAUUGUGCAUAUUAUUAAUACAUUAACUUUUAGAUGUGGCAUUUAGAUUAUAUAUGUGAAUAGAGAAACAAACAAAUUUUAACAAUUCAUUUUACAUUAUACAUUUGAAGAAGUGGUUUUAACAUGAUGCAUCUUUUUAACAAGUUGCAUUAUUCAAAACUCAAAAGAAUUUCUUUUGCAUCAGAAAUCUAUUGCAGACGUACAAAUGAACCCUAAAGUGUUAGCCAUGCUCGGGUCUAGAUUUAGUCUAUGAUAUAUUAGAGUUUUAAAUUGCUAUUAAAUGUAGAACUUUGAUCAUAUUUUAAAUUCGAUUUUUAUGAACUCCGAAUGUCCGGAUUUGAACACCAUUUCAAAAAGUAUACAUACCACUUUUGAUCUCCAGCAACGAAUACUUCUGAUUCAUAAAACCUGUCCUCUAACUUUGAAAAGUUCUCGAUCUUCCAAACAUGCUUAUAAUUGGAAGCAGAUGUCAAUUUCAUCAUGGAAAGGCACUCUCCUGUGCAUUCUUUCGUUUCUUUAACAAAUACUUCUGCUCCAAAAACACACGUAUCUCCCACAAGAUAUCCAUUCGAAGCAUUAAUAAAUUCUUCAAGCGGGAUGAAUUGAUCAAAACCCCAUUCAAGCUUUAAUCCAUGAAAACGUCUUUGUUUACCCAUGGCAUCUAUCACAUGGAGGUGACCGGCCCAAAUCAUUGAUUAGGUCUCACUUAAAUAAUUAAGCACAAAACAAUCAUAAACAUUAUUGAGUGUAAUAACUAACCUUGAAGAAUCAAGAACUCGUCUUUCUUCUGAUCAAGCACAAAUAGGCGGAAAAUCACAUAGACUUCCCAACCAAGGCCAAAUGAACUUGUGUCUACCAUAGCCAAGUAGACUGAGAUGUGGUCUUUCACAUUUUCAUUUUUAUUUCCAUUUGGGUAGACAACAAGUUUCCUGAAACCAUCAUGAAUUCAAAAUAACAUAUUAGAUUAUGAUAUGUAAUUUAGUAAUAAGGUGAUCUGAAUAUAGUGUACAAUUAGGUUUUGGGCCACACCACUUGUAGCCUCCAGCAUCAAAUUCCAAGGAUUUAUAAUUUUCCACGUCAUUCUCCACAAGAGAUGAAAAUGCCUCUAUUUUGAGUAAGAAAUGUGCCGGUGGUACAUGUGAAAUGGAUCUCGAAAUUGCUGUCAAGAGUAAUUUUAACAUUGAUCAGAAAAUAACAGGCUAGAAAUUUUCAAUGCACAUAUAUAAACAUAUAUAGAGAAGGGGAGGUGGGGAAAGAGUCAGAGAACAUACCAACUUGGUCUACAAAGUCAUUUUCCAUUGCAGCAAAUUCCUCCAAACUAUUAUAAAUCUUCAAGUACUAAAACUAGUACUGAAGAAAGAUUGAUUAUAAUAAGAUUCUUCAAGGGCUAGGGUAUUCUCUCAAGAGUAAUAUUUCUUCUUUAAGAUAUCUAAAAGGGACCGUGGUACAUAUAAAGCAUCAAGGUUGAGGGUUUAUAUAAUUCAACAUUAAAUUUCUAGAAAGAGUCAGAAUGACUAUUGGUAUUCACCAAGUUUUGGAAAAUGAUGGUUGCAAGAAUGGAAUGGAAAGGGGAAUGCAAUGGGGGAAAAGGGAUAUUGAUUCUUUAAUUUGUUUGUUUUGGUCAAGGAAUAUUGAUUUCUUUGCUUGGUUGCAAGAAUGGAUGGUAAGAGGCAAGAAAACAACUACAGUACAAAUGAACAAAAAUAUGUACCCUCCACUCAAAAACCGUGUAUUUCGACAAGCUGAAGCAAUAUUUUAGUUGUCUAUUUUCUAUUAUCAACUAAUAUAAUUAGCUUCCAAAAUUUAAGCCCGAUUUAGUACUAUGGUUGAGCAGCACUUAAGUGUUCUGUAAAUACUUAUUGAUUUAAAUUCAUUUUAUUUGACACUCGUAAGAUAAAAAAAGUCUAUAGUACCUUACCUAUUGCGACUGGCAGAAUACAGAGAGAAAAAAAAAAGCAACAAUAAAUAAGAUAUCGCAGGCUAAACUCAUAAGAAGGCAUCCCCAUGUAGUCUCCAUGUGGAGACUUAACAACCAAUUAACCGCCAAUUAUCGAGCGGCAACAAUUGAAUUUCUUUGUCAAAAUAUAUAGGUACGAUGAGAUUAACUCUUAUUAUAAGAAAUACAAUUAAAAAACUUGGCAUCCCAAUUUUCUUGCAAGAGUAGCAAUGCUUAUUAGAGUAUAUUACAGGGCUUUGGAAAUUCUAAGCACAGACACCUCUGCUUCAGCAUUGCACACAUCGUUCACAAGAAAACCAUUGCUUGCCUUAUUCAAGUAACUGAGUUCAACAAAUUAGUGCCAGCCCCAAUCUUUAAUUGAGUUCCUAAACCAUGUGCUGGCUGCAGGAACAACAAUAGAAACCUGAAGUCACUACUAGAAAAAUGGCUUUUACUGACACUCCUCUUCUGACACUUUUCUAAAAAGUAUCAGUAGUUACAUAUAUUUGGGUCAUUUUCCGUGUUUAACAGACAAGUUCACAAGUUACUAAUUCUAUGGUGUUUGUAGAUUAAACAUAAGAGAUUAUCGACACUAUGGUAUCAGAAAUAACAACAAAAAAGUCUAUUUUUGUUUUAAUUGCUACUCGAACCUAAGACCUCAAAACUGGAGUGCUUUAUGUUCAAACAACAAACCACCAGGCCAAAUUCGUAUUUUAGUUUAUGUUGAAAAUGUUCAAAUUAUCAUAUUAAAAUAACAACAAUAUAAAGCAAAAGCAAAAAACCCUAAAAUCAACAUAAACAUAAAAUUCUCUAACUUCUAAUUCUAUGGCCAGCCGCCUCAUCUCUCUGGCAAGAUCCUUCUUCUUCUUCGUACCUCUAAAAAUUCUCCCCUUCGAGCCCUAAAAUUCAAGGGUCCAUGCCAUGGGAAAUCCUAACAACAUUGCUCAAAUUCUAAGACCCAUACCAUACGAAACCCUAACGAGCUACAUGAGGUUGCGAAACAUCCACCAUGCCACUAUGCCACAAGCUCAGAAGAUCCUCUUUAGAUCUCCACAUUUUGCUCACCCUACUCAAGUGCGCACCGCCCCUCUCGCUUCGACUUCUCUGGAUUUCUUGUUAGCUGAACUUUUGUUUUCUUCUGCUAAUUUGAUCUUCGACUGCCGUAUGGUUAGAUCGGUUCGCUUGGACUCCAUCAUGAUGGACAAAUCAUGUGCGAGGCCUAAGACACUGUUGUUAAAGGUCGAAUCACUAUUUUAGCCUCAAUUGAGAUUUUAAUUUGUUUAUCUAAUUGGAAAAUUAAUGCUUUGAAUUGUAUUGUGUUAAUUUCUUUGGAUAUGCUUAACUGAAUUAUUGCAUACUCAACUAAAUUAAAGGUUAGAUCAUCAUUUCUUAGUUCAAUCUGUAGUUUUAUUUUUUAAUUUUUAGGUGGUAGUUUGCUGAUGUAUUAACUUUAUACUUGUAUGAAGGUAAAUAGAAUUGCAUUGGCUAGGACUCACAGAACAUGUAAUUAAUCACUGUAAAUUGAUUCUUAAGCUAGUUUCCUGAAGGCACUAACAUUGGGUAAAGGUUUUUCAUGUUUAGAUAAUUUCAUUCAAAUUGGAUUAAUAUACCCUAGCGUAGCUAGUUCCUGUGCGACUUAUUGACACGAAAGGACAAUUUAAUUCAAAGUGAACUAAUUAAGCAAGCUUUUAGUUUAUAUAUAUAUAUGAACAGAGAAACAAACAAAUUUUAGCAAAUCAUUUACAUUAUACAUUUGAAGAAGUGGUUUUAACAUGAUGCACCUUUUUAACAAGUUGUACUAUUCUAAUUUCUUCUGCAUUACCAUUAGAAAUAUAACGCACAUGUAUAAAUCAACCUUAAGUAUUAGUCCUGUUCAGGUACAGAUGUCUAGAUUUAGGCUAUUAUAUAUUAGAGUUUUACAACUUUGAUUGUAGUUCGAACCGAGAUUUUAUGAACUCUGAACGUCUGGACUUGAGCAUCAAAUCUAGAUUUUGAUCACCAGCAAUGAAUAUUUCUGAUUCGUAACGCUUUGACUGCACUUUGAAGAGUUCUCGAUCUUCCAUGCAUGCUUAUAAAUGGAAGCAGUUGUGAAUCUCAUCAUGAAAGGCACUCUCCUUUGCCUUUAUUCCUUUCUUAGCAAAGACUUCAGCUAUAAAAACACGAGUGUGUCCUUCAAGAUAUCCAUUCGAAGCAUCGUUAAAAAUCAAGAACUUGUCUCUUUUUUUAUCAAGCACAAAUAAAAAUCUAAUAUCUAAUUCACUGUUGUGGACUGUUAUGACCAUUGAUAUUCACUAAAUUAAUUAUCUUAUUUUGCAGUAACAUAUUUUUGUGAAACGUAACUAAGUAGUACUUUAGCUACUGAUCCUUUUUUUAGUUUAGAAACUACCUCUUUCGAAUUCUUAAAUGUCCAUAAAUGAUAUUCCUUUUAUGUAAUAUUAAUUUCUUGCCCUAUUGUACUAAAUUUAUCUUAUCAAUACUUCUCUUUAAUUAAAAACUAAGAGUUUUUGUCACCAUCUCACUUGGUAAUAUUUGAUAGAUGUGAUUUUAUUUCAGGAUUAAGAUUGUCAGAGAUUUCCUUCCAGGAUUAAGAAUUAUGUCAAUGAACAAACGUGAUCGCAUAAGUAAUUAAGCAAAAAAUCAAUGAAUUUCUUUAUUUUGUGAGAAACAAAGAAGAAUACUUAUUAUUACAAUGCCUCGGAGAUUCUGAGCACAGUGAUCUCAGCUUCCACAACGCGAACGUCGUUCACAAGGUACCCAUUCUCUGGGUCAUUUAACUUACUCAAUGAAACGAAUCUCGACCAACCCCACUUAUUAUCGCCUGGUGCAUGGAACCUUUCUCUGCCUCCUAGAGAAAAAGAAUCAUUCUCAUUAUACACAUUAUUUGAAUUCUAUAGCCUCAAAUUAAGUUUAUUAUUAUUAUUUUGGGUUAAAGGUACUUUCAAAAUCAAAAGUUAAAGAAAACUGCUUGAAAAUCACUCAGUCAAGCUGCCAGUAGCAACUAAAUUAGUUGCGUAUUAGAACAAGCAAUGUGCCUUAAGAAGAUUCAUGCAUUGCCCGAACUUGAUCUAAGAUUCGAAAUGUAAACUUUGCGUAUACUUUAACAGUACUCCGAACUGUGGAAUCUUCAAAAACCAAGAACAAGGAAAGACAAUCGCCAGCAUUGGGCCCAGUUCCCAUGGGUGUAGCUCUGUCUUCCUGAAAACACCGAAAUGGUAUUUUAUUAAUUGUACACUGUUGGGUCAUAAACUUGAUCCAAGAUGAAUAAAUUCAAGCCCAACUCAUGGAAGGUUGGUGAGGUUUAAAUUAUUUGUGUUAGGUGUGGUAGGUGUGGUUGGUGAAGUAGGUGAGUGAUAGGUUUGAAUGGAUUGUGAGGAUUUGUUUAUUAAUUGAAUAAAUGAAUGGUUGUGAUUAGUUUGUUUCAUGUAUAAAUAUCAUCUCUCCUCUUUGGUUUAAGUAUCAAGUGAAGUAACAAAAUUUCUAAGUUGUAGAAAGUGAAAAAUAAGAGUUGUAAUUGGUGAUGAGUAUUGUUGAAGAAAUAAAAUAGUGUGUUUUUUUAGUGUUAUAUGUGUUAAGUCUCCAACAUACACUCACUGACAACUUUGUCCCAAGAACUCAUUAUUUAUUAUACCUGUAGAAAUUAAAAAAAAAACUUAAAAUCUUUGAUACCAUUUGUGAUUUCCAGCAUCGAAAACUUGUGAUUCCUCGUAUCCUGCGUCUAAGUUCUCGAUCUUCCAAACACACUUACAACUAAUUGAAAUUUCUUUUAUAGAUUGGCACUCUCUUUUGAAUUUGUUUCUUUCUUUAACAAGGACUUCAGCUUCAAAAACACACGUAUCUUCGACAAGGUAUCCAUUCGAAGCAUCAUUGAAAGCUCUAAGCGGGAUAAAUUUAUCAAAAUUAACCCCAUACAUGCUUCAGUCCAUUAAACCGUCUUUCCUUUCCCAUGAUAUCUAUCACAUUACAAGCAACCACUCAUUAUGCAUGCAUUCAAUUUUUUUUCCUAAUGUUGCAAUAUACAAUUCUGCACACUAAAUUUGAUUUAACCUUGAACUACACAGUAGUUUUCUUGGUUCUGAUCAAGUAAGAACAGACGAAAAACUGCCGAGACUUCCCAAUCCAAAGUAAAUGAACUUGUGUUAUUAAGGAAAAGAAUAUAUAUAUAUAUAUAUAUGUACCACUUGUAUCCUCCAACUUCAAAUUCUCCUGAUUCAUAUUCCUCUUCUGCUUUUUCUGCAAGUAAUGAUAAUGAUUUUAUUUUGACGAUGAAAUGAGCCGGUGGUAGUGAAGUGUAUCUUGCAAUGGCUAUACAUUUAAGUAAUUUUUAAUUAAUGCCGAUUGAUUAGAAAUAACAAUAAGCUGAAAUUUUUAAGAAUAUUGUCCUCUAGAGAACGUGAGAAAAGGUUGAACAUACAUACCAUCUUUGUUAACAAAGAUAUUUUCCAUUGCGAAAAGUUCUCCAAAAAGUUGUUGAAUUUUUAUUUUUAUUUUUGGUAACUUGGACAGCACGAAGUCGUUUUAAAUAAAAGAAAAAUAAAAAAACUGGGAGGAGGUACUGAGUUUCAUCUCUCAGAAAACUCAUAGAAUCUAGAACAUAAAAAUGUGAUGCUUGAAAAUACAAUGAAUAAACAUGAUUUAAGCAAAUAUACAAUGAAUCUUCAUUAAUUACUACAUUAGGGGAUAAAUAAAAAAAUUUAAUAAAAAGCCUAAUGAUUGGACUGUUUAUAUCCUACUUUCUAAUUGACCAAACUCGAAAAUAUAAACUCAAUCGAAAUUUUCUUUGGUUUGUACUAAUCUUCGUUACAGCGCUUAGAAAAUUCUAAGCUCAUGUAGCGAUUGUUCAUUUCACAGAUUAUUUUGUGGGGAGAAAUUUCUUGAUUGUUAAUAAUUAAACAUAACAAAUAUAUAGAUAUUAAUUGCAUGUAUAAUAAUGUGCAAGUAUUAAAAUGUACUUCAAAGCUUAAAGCGAAAGUAAGAGUUUGUUUGAAAUUGAAGUGUUGUAACUUUUAAGGUACAACUAUUGUAGAAAAAAAUUAUAAUUAUGAAAUAAAAGUUAAUAGUGUAUUGUAAAAAUAAUUUUUAAUAAUAAUUUUGACAAAAUUAUUAAAGAUAUAAUAGAUUUUUCAUCAGAAAAAACCUCUUUUCAUCCCUAAAGUUUCAUGUAAUAACUCAUUUCAUCCUUACUUUUUAAAUAAUAGCCCAAAACAUCCUUCCGCUAACCACUGUUAGUUUAAUGCCGUUAACUAGUAAUUCAUUUAAAUUGGUAAAAUAUGAUUAUUAUUAAAAUGUUUCAAACUAUAUUAAAAUAUUUUUUUUAUACAAUUAAGUAACACUACAAAAUAUGCAAAAUUUAUUAAUUUUUUCUUAAAUGAAAUCAACGAUGAAGUAAUUUGAUAUAACCACUUAAUAGUUUCCAUAAGCAACAAAUUGUAAUUAGCACAAUAUCUUUAAAUAAUUAGAAGAAAAAGUAAAAAAUACAACCAAAUUUUAUGUGCUGAAAAUUUUCUUAAUCUUCAACCAAUUUUUAUUUUGAACUUGGCCACCACUCUUCUUCGACCAUUAUUGUCUUCCCAAGUCCUUACCACUAUCUUUUUUGGUAUUUAUUGUUUAGUGGGAUUAGAUAAACAUUAUUUUUAGUUAUAUGUCAACUUUUAUUUUUUUUUUAAUUUUCUCUUUAAUAGAAAAUCUUUUUUUACCCUCAAUGAAUAACUAACAAACAACGUUUAACUAACAGUGAGUUAAUAAAAUGAUGUUUUGAGUUAUUGUUUAAAAAGUAGGGAUGAAAUGAGGUAUUACAUGAAACUCUAGGGAUGACAGAGGAUUUUUUCCUUUUUCAUCAUACAAGUGAAAAAUCAUAUUAAGAUAGCUUUUAAGCUAUAACAGUUAUUGUUUAUUAAACACUUUAGCGCUGUAACUCUGCCCAACUUCAAACCCAAACACACCCUAAGUCUAGAUCGACAGAAUAGCCCUAAGUUAAAAAUGUGCAUGAAUCUUGAAAAAUACGAUAUUAUUGAAUCCUAAUUAGAUCCAACCAAAGCUUUGUGCAUAACAGCCUAGAUGAUAUAUUUAUUUUAAAUAAUUAAUCAACGUGAAUAUACAAAUAUGAUAAUAGCGGUGGUUCAAAAGGUUUGGGUUUCGAAUUCGGAUUACAUUAGGGUUGAGGAGUUGAUUGAAUAUAUAUUGCAAAAUGGGAAAAAAAUGGAAAUAAUAGAGAAACACACCUUGUAUAUUGAAUAUCUUUUUUUUUUUUUUUUCUUUUGAAGAUAAGUUAACUUAAAAUUUAGCUUAAUUUUAAUCCUAAAAAUUUAAGAAACUAAAUUAAGUCCUAACUAAACUAAAAUUAUAAAAACGACUCGAAUACGACCAAUUUGACUGAUUAUAAUUUGUAAUAUAAUUUUACCAAGACAGAACCAUGAUUGAUUACUUGCACCUUGCAUGUUAACAAUCAAAAGAUCUCUUUGUUUGAUGAGAAUUUGGCAUGAAUUGAAAUUCAAACACGGGCAAAGUGUUAAUGGAGCAGUGAUACCAGAAAAAACAUAACCUUCCUCCCUCGCCCAUAAUGUCAAACAACUACAAGACCGGUAGCUAGCUCUUCAAAGGUACUGAAGUCCAAAAUAGAGCCACGAUUAUCACUAGCUCACUUAUUGCACAGAUACAUGAAUAGAAGCAUCAAUUUUGAUUUGAUCACCAUCAAAAUUUCUGAAACAGAUUGACUGACAAAAGGGAGGGAAACUAAAUUCUGCUUGGCCGAAAAUCAUGUGACGUGGGACCCGAAAGCUUAUAAGCACAACCCCAAAACAAAGUCUCAGAAAUUUAUAAAAAAUGAUACUACCGAGCAUACUAAAGUCAUAUGACCUGGGUCACCAAUUCUCUUCUUCUUUUUUUUUUUUUUUUUUGGGCCUUCACGCUCGUUGGUUCAAUUGUCUUCAUACUACAAAAAAAUGCAUCUUUUGUUUGUUGGUUCCUGCACAAAUUGAAUGUUACCUCCCGAUUUUAACCAAAGGUGAAGAGAUUGAUGAAUAAGCAAUAUGUGAAUGACAACUUGUUCUAUCAUCCCAUUUGUAGGUGGCAUUAAAAUUUAAUGAGGUAAAUAUUGGUGAGGGAUUUUAUUGGGUUUAAUGCCUGUGAAUCAUGUCUUCACUGUUCUUAUGUCUGGAAAGUUUUCCUCGGUCAUGAUUGUUUACGCAAGCAUUAGGAAAAAUCAUAAUUCUUUACCUUAUUGUUUUAUUUACUUCCACAUUAUUGAAAAGAUUCACUUCUUUUGACAUUUAAGCUUUAUCUUGCUCUGUUUUUGAACAGGUUGAGGUGGAAAGAAUUCAUAUUGGCUUGCUGGGAUAAUUUUGGUUUACAUAAUUUGCUUCUAUGGCUACGGAAAGUUACCCUUUCACAUUAUCUCUCUAGUAUUACAUUAUUAUCUGGUCUCAUCUUGAGAGUUAAGAUUCUCGCCGGAGAUCCUAGGCUUUUCCCUCAUUUUCUUUUCAAGUAAUAGUUUGGCGGAGGGAAUCCAAAGCUUUUUAUGUUAUUGUCAUUUCUAACUUCAUUAUUUUUUCCAAUUCCAUGUUGGAUUCACCUGGUAGAAGCAUAAGCUAGCAAAGAUGAAAUGAACCAAGAGCAGGAAGUGAGUUUCUGUCGAUUAAUUUCUUCUUUUUUAAUUGCAAAUUGAGUUGGUGGUACUGAUAACGACAUGUUUUUUCUUCAUUAUUUCUUUUAAAUAAAAAACUAAAGCUCCUAUUAUACACAGGAAACGCCAUUGCCUCAGUCCCAGAACAAAAUGGUCGGUACUUUUUUUAUAUCCAUUAAAUGAAUAAAUAUUAAUUUAUAUUUAUAGAAAUAAUAUCACGUUGAUAAUAUGAUUUUUUUAUGAAAUAUAGUGGUAGUAUAAUUAAAGAAUUUAGUGAUUCUGAGCUAGUAUAAUUAGAAAAUUUAGUGAUCUUUUUUUUUUUGAGUAAAGAAAUUUAGUGAUUCUAACGUAGUAUAACUACAGAAUUAAGUGAUUUUAUCAUGUUGUAUGAUAGGAUUUUAAUUCGAUCUGGAUUGAGUGAAUCAAUCAUUUGAUAAUUCUUUGGUUAGAUUGUACAGUUGGAUCACGAUUACAUGGUAACUCAUGAACUGAGAUUUUUUGGAGGCAAUAGAUUAAAUCUCUCUCUCUUAUUUCUCUUACCACAACACAUAUAAUACAACAAUAACUUCUCAACUGAAAAGUAUAAAAAAAGUAAUGUUGAUCAAUAAAAUGCAUAAAACAUUAUGCCAGUACAACAAAAAAAAUCAUAGACAUAUCAUAUGUAUUUAGUUUUAAAUUAAUUAAUUAUUAAUACAUGUAUUAAUUGGGUCUUAUAAAAAAAUAAAUUUUUUUAAAAUAUAUUAUCUAAUAAAAUUUAUCAAAUUAUUAAUUUACCAUAUUGACUCUAUGUCAAACUGAAGAAAACUAUUAUUUAAUAGGAGUUAUCAAUUUAUCAAUAUUAAUUCAACGGGUUCAAUUCUACUUGGUUUUCAUUUUCUUAGUAAGUGAAGUUAUUAGUUCUCUUGCAUCCUAAUUUUCUUCGUUUCAACUACUUUUUUUUUUCAUUUUUCAUUUUUCAUUUUUCUUUUUUCUUUUAAAUCAAAAUCUUAGAAGAGAAGAAUUACAGCGUAGGGGACAUAAUGAAUUUCUCCUUAAAGAGAUGCAGAGAAAUAGAACACCAAAGUAACACUAAAAAGUUAGCUUGACAGCAUAAACAAUAAGCAAUGUAAGAGUUAUUUUGGAAAACCACAAGAGAAAUAAAUUUCCUGAUAGCUAAAAUAAAUUUCCUAGAUUAGCCAGGCAGUCAGCAUCACACAAUAAAAGAACCCAUUUGGAGGACAAUU